AGCGCGCCCGCCGCCCCCUCCCCCCGCUGCCAGAGUCGGGGUUCGACUGGGCGGCCGCGUGCGAGGACCUGGAGGAGCACCUGGAGCGCUGGGGGGCCGGGGGGGCCCCCAUGGAGCACUUCUCCCUGGACGAGGGGCACUUCGCCUCCGUGGACUCCGUCCUGCUGCUCCAGGGGGGCUCCCUGUGUGUC